rnacentral:rRNA from 1 species
AAUGAACGCUGGCGGUAGGCCUAACACAUGCAAGUCGAACGGCAGCACCGUAAGAGCUUGCUCUUACGGGUGGCGAGUGGCGGACGGGUGAGGAAUACAUCGGAAUCUUCUUUUUCGUGGGGGAUAACGUAGGGAAACUUACGCUAAUACCGCAUAUGACCUACGGGUGAAAGCAGUGGAUCUUCGGACCUUGCGCGAUUGAAUGAGCCGAUGUCGGAUUAGCUAGUUGGCGGGAUAAAGGCCCACCAAGGCGACGAUCCGUAGCUGGUCUGAGAGGAUGGUCGGCCACACUGGAACUGAGACACGGUCCAGACUCCUACGGGAGGCAGCAGUGGGGAAUAUUAGGCAAUGGGCGCAAGCCUGAUCCAGCCAUACCGCGUGGGUGAAGAAGGCCUUCGGGUUGUAAAGCUCUUUUGUUGGGAAAGAAAAGCUGCAGGUUAAGACCCCGCUGUUCUGACGGUACCCAAUGAAGAAGCACCGGCUAACUACGUG